GCCAGUUCAGAAGUUGAAACAAAGAGCUAAUAUCUAUUUCUGUGUUGAAAUAAGGAUCAAUCUUAAAUCCAGUAGAGUCAACAGGUGGAUUUAAAUGUGGAAGAUUAACAGCUUGUUUAUUUCAACCAUCUCUCGUUGAUUUCAAAUCAGGAAUUAAGUGCCAGGACCAUCAGAGUAAGGCUAUAUGUAACACUCCUGCAAACUGCAACUGGAAUCCAAAAGUAUUUCCCAAUAAAUAUGGUGACUACGAAUGUGAAACUGCAUCUGGGGAUAUGCAGUGUUUUGAAAUAUCUAAUCGUACAGACAAAUGCUCCUCAUAUGAGGAGUGUGGUUUCACACAAAGACUUCCAAAUAGUGCUGCUACCUGCUCAAUGUUCCAUCCUGGAAUCAAGUGUUUAACGGUGGAUAACAGUAGCGAAAUACUUCUAUGCCACAACUACGAAGAAUGCAGAUGGAAUCAUGAGAAUUACCCGAAUUAUAAAACCCACCAUGACUUCCAUAAAUGCA